CUCUCAGUUUCAAUACUGGACAUGCCAGAUGGUACUAAUUUGAACACAUCAUUCCAUGCUUCCUGGAGUAAUCACACAGCUUGCUUAGAUUUUCUAAACAUGACUGAACUGUGAUGAAGCGAUCAACAUUAACUGCCAAGACUCCACAUAGCAAUGAUGUGCUGGCCACCCACUGGGAAAACACCUGUCACCCCUUGAUGGACCUUUCUGACACUGUUUGCCUGUCCUCAAAAGUUCCUGAAAUAUUUACCAGUCAGCAUCUUGGAAAAAACAAAUAAUGGGGCCUUCUCAGAGUGAGGAAGCUUCCUGGAGGGUCAUCAGGACACUACAGAAGAGCUAAUCCAACAUGGAUCUCUAAAACUAUGCAAUUAAGACGAGUGUGGUGGCUCACACCUGUAAUGCCGGCACUUCGGGAGACCAAGGCGGUUGGAUCACUUGAGACCAGGAGUUUAAGGUCAGCCUGGGCAACAUGGCAAAACCCUGUCUCCACUAAAAAUAAAAAAAUUAGCCCUGCGUGGUGGGCAGACCUGUGGUCCCAGCUUUCAGGAGGCUGAGGCACGAGAAUUGCUUGAGCUCAGGAGGCGGAGGCUGAAGUGAGCCAAUAUCGGCAACUGCACUCCAGCCUGGGCAACAGAGCAAGACUGUGUCUCAAAAAAAUAAAUAAAAUAAAAUAAAUAAAAUAAAAUAAAGCUAUGCUAUUAGCUCAAGUAAUCUAAUUGCAUUACAUCAAUUUUAAAAAUUAUUUUCAAAAAUGUAUUUCAAUGUUAUCUGCUACCUUGCAUCACUACCUUCUUGCCCUGAUUUUCACAGCAAAAUCUUGUACAUAAGUAUCUACCAACUGUAAAAAAAAAGCCUCAGAUUAUGUUCCAUAGAUAAUGCAGAAUCAAGGCAAUUACCUGGAAAUGGAUAUCAAAAAUAAAUUUUUAUCUCAAAUAGAUAUUUUAGUAAAAAGAAGCUUGUUGUUAUAAAUUAUGUUAAUAAAAACAUAGUAGUUCACUUCAGUUUGCAUAUAUAUAGUUUCAACAUCUAGCUUGGUUUACUCCCAAGAGACAAAAUUAAGCUAAAAAAAUUUUUUUCAGAUGCCUCAUCUGUUUAGGGUUUAUUUUUCUUUUGCAGUUUAGGAUUGUGGCUGAUAUUUUAAUAAAUAAGUUAGAAAAAUAGGGUAGCAUGAAUAUUAAUUAAAACAAUUCAGAAUAUAUCAAAUAUGUAAGAGGUUAUUUGCUAUAAAACUGAUAACUAAAAGAAAGAGAAAGGAGACAGAAUUGAACUGUCACCAAGGCUCGAACUCCAUUUUCCUAGUAGCUGUUACCGAAUUGCAGAUAACACAUAAAUCUCUGUGCUGAAGUGUGAGCUCUCUAAUCAAAGGAGCAAUCUUCUGAGCAAUCCUGAAGCUCAAAGUGUUCACUCCCUUUGAGCAAACCCUGUGUAGGAAAUUCGUAUGUAGGAAAUUCAUUUUUGACACUGCUAUAAUAAGUUGUUACUCUUGCUUUCAGCUGGCUUAGUUUUAAAAUCUGUUUUAUUCUUAUUAGCUUAAAAAUAUUAUAAUUAUUAUGUGUUCCAUUAUGUUUUAUUUUCAUUUAUAAAAAAGCAUAUGUUCUAUAUCCUGAUUUUUUUCUCUUAUCAUGUUAACACCAAUGAUCUAUAUCAUAAUGUUUUUGUAGUUGCAUAAUUUGGAUAUAUCAUAGUUAUUUAGUCAUUCUAUGAGUUAACUUUCAGGCUUUUUCUCUUUUUUAUUUCUUUAGCUAUUAUUAACAAUGAUGCCAUAGUUAUCCUUAAAGAAGUAUCUUUUCAUAAUAGUACUUUUAUUUCUACAUAUUAAAUUGUGAUUCCUUUUAAACUUCUUUAAAUUUAAAUAUAUAUAUUUUUUAGCGACAAGGUCUUGUUAUGUUGCCUAGGCUGGACUUGAAUCCUGGGCUCAAGGUAACCUACCACCUUAGCCUUCCUUCAGAGUAGCUGGUACUACAGGCAUGCAACCCUACACCAGGAUACAAAUUGUGUGUUUCUUGAGUCAAAUGGUUUGAAUGCUUUUUAAAAUUUUAAGAUUACUACUCCAAAAUGAUUACUGUAUCAAAUUUUAAGUUAUAAUAAUUAUAAUUAUUUAGAAUCAUACCACCAAUGUGUGAGAGUACCCAUUUUGACAAACUCACAUAAAUCUCUGGAUAUUAUAAAUAUAGUUAGAUUUUAGUAGAUUUUUAGUUAGAUUUUAGUUAGCCAUUCCUGGCUGUGAGUGAGACAGAAUGUCUUCUUACAUGUUUGUUCGUCAUUUGUGAUCCAUUAAAAC
rnacentral:lncRNA from 1 species